GCGGGAGGAAGAGGAGGGAGGGAAGGAGGAAGAGGAGCGGGAGAAUCCCGCCGCUCGUACCGCCCGCACGCUGAGUGUGCAGCACCCCCUGCCCCGGGAGCAUCGCCCCCAGCCCCGAGCCGCAGGCUGCCUCCGAGAGCGAAGGGGAGAAGGAAGAAGCAGCAGUUUGUUUUCAGAAACUACACUCACUCCUCCACAUUCCAUCUCCUGGAUUGUUCUGCUGCCUUAAGGAGCUGGAACAGAGGCCAGACGGAGCUAAGAGGAAUAAAGUGAAUUUUUAUUCAAUUGCCUUCAAAGGCCACACUCUGGCAGUACCGGAGCCAUAGUGGUGUCUCUGCCCAGAUGGCUCCAAGACGGGAGCAUAAGAGGGCUCGGUCACAAGAUCUCACAUUUUUAUAAGUUUUAGUCCAUUUGUAUAUAGGAGUUAACUGCCCAAUCAAUAGCUUCAAAUUAUGAAGUUUCAUCCUCCUUCCUUGCUUGCCCACCCUCCUCUUUUCAUGUUGUUUGCGCUUUGGGCCUGAAGUUUGAAGAGAUUGUCCUUGAGUCUCCAGCUAGAAUGGGAUUGUUUUGUCUUCACCACCCCGGGAAAAGAUCCCAGUAAUACUUAAUAUAAAGCUAAAAGCUGCACACCAAAACAGAACAGAAAAACUUAAAAUCUAAGGUAUCAGUUGUCUAUAAAUGGACAGACAGCAGGACAGAGCUCUCCUUUGCUUUUAGUUAGUUUUUAGCUUCCUGAGGCAGAGAAGUUCCCUGGACUGUGUUUUUUCUUUUUCUUUGGAGCUCUUUAAACCUGCUCUGGACUGAACACCCAGAACACCACUGGCAGCUCGCACCUGUGGUCCACCGGGCCGGUUCUGGGCCACGGCAUUUCCAGUGCCAGAGGGACUGAAAAGAGACUGAUAAGAGACUGAUCAGAGACUGAGUGAGCCGAGUUACAGCCCACGGAGGGACUUUCUGAGUUUGUCAUCUCUUUUGGAGUGGCAGAGGAUUUCCCAUUCCCAAACCUUGGCUGAAUGAAGGAGGAGAAGGCUAUGAGGAAGAGGAAGAUGCCCCAGGACACCCAGGCAGGGAAGGAACUGAGGAUGGAGACCAGGGAGGACCAAUGCCCGGGGCAGAACCUCAUGGAAGAGCCCACUUUGUCUGGCACCCCUGAGGAAUGUCUCCAGCAUGGCUGGAAUCCAAGUCACCUUCGGGUCAGGCACUACCCUAAGGCAACCUCUGAGUUUUAUCAGGGUACGCUGAGGGGAGAGACCUGCAACCCUCCCAGAGUCACAGACUGGAGGAUUGCUUUCCUUGACAGACCCCCACAAGAUCCUUUGUUGGCCCACCAUUGGAUCCCUGGAGCCUUAGACCUUAAUAAACCCUCGUUAGAACUC